rnacentral:rRNA from 1 species
GAUGAACGCUGGCGGCGUGCCUAAUACAUGCAAGUCGAGCGAACAGAUGAGGAGCUUGCUCCUCUGACGUUAGCGGCGGACGGGUGAGUAACACGUGGAUAACCUACCUAUAAGACUGGGAUAACUUCGGGAAACCGGAGCUAAUACCGGAUAAUAUAUUGAACCGCAUGGUUCAAUAGUGAAAGACGGUUUUGCUGUCACUUAUAGAUGGAUCCGCGCCGCAUUAGCUAGUUGGUAAGGUGACGGCUUACCAAGGCAACGAUGCGUAGCCGACCUGAGAGGGUGAUCGGCCACACUGGAACUGAGACACGGUCCAGACUCCUACGGGAGGCAGCAGUAGGGAAUCUUCCGCAAUAGGCGAAAGCCUGACGGAGCAACGCCGCGUGAGUGAUGAAGGUCUUCGGAUCGUAAAACUCUGUUAUUAGGGAAGAACAAAUGUGUAAGUAACUAUGCACGUCUUGACGGUACCUAAUCAGAAAGCCACGGCUAACUACGUG